GAUGAAGAACGUAGCGAAAUGCGAUAAGUAAUGCGAAUUGCAGAAUUCCGUGAGUCAUCGAAUCUUUGAACGCACAUUGCGCCCUCUGGUAUUCCGGAGGGCAUGCCUGUCUGAGCGUCAUUGUCAACCCUCAAGCUCAGCUUGCUGUUGGGUCCCCGUCGUUGCUUUAACGGCGGACCCGAAAGGUAAUGGCAGAGUCCGUGAGACCCUAGACGCAGCGAGCUUCUAGCACGCGUCUGGACGUUUUUCGGGCUCGGUCUUAACUAGAUGAUAACUUCCGAUUGACCUCAGAUCAGGUAGGGAUACCCGCUGAACUUAAGCAUACCAAUAAGCGGAGGA
rnacentral:misc_RNA from 1 species